GACGUAGGGCGCGAGCGUUGUCCGAAGUUACUGGGCGUAAAGCGCGCGUAGGCGGGUUGGUAAGUCCGCUGUGAAAGCCCGGAGCUUAACUCCGGAGGGUCGGUGGAUACUGCCAGUCUUGAAGGUGCUAGGGGGAGAUGGAAUUACCGGUGUAGCGGUGAAAUGCGUAGAUAUCGGUAGGAACACCAGUGGCGAAGGCGGUCUCCUGGGGCAUUCUUGACGCUGAGGCGCGAAAGCUGGGGGAGCAAACGGG
rnacentral:rRNA from 1 species